CCUACGGGAGGCAGCAGUAAGGAAUAUUGGUCAAUGGGCGCAAGCCUGAACCAGCCAUGCCGCGUGCAGGAAGACGGCCCUAUGGGUUGUAAACUGCUUUUGAACAAGAGAAAACCUCGGUACGUGUACCGAGCUGAUAGUAUUGUUAGAAUAAGCAUCGGCUAACUUCGUGCCAGCAGCCGCGGUAAGACGAAGGAUGCAAGCGUUAUCCGGAUUCAUUGGGUUUAAAGGGUGCGUAGGCGGCCUGAUAAGUCAGUGGUGAAAUCUCUCAGCUUAACUGAGAAACUGCCAUUGAUACUGUCGGGCUUGAGUACAGAUGAUGUGGGCGGAAUAUGACAUGUAGUGGUGAAAUACUUAGAUAUGUCAUAGAACACCGAUUGCGAAGGCAGCUCACAAAACUGUAACUGACGCUGAGGCACGAAAGUGCGGGGAUCAAACAGGAUUAGAUACCCUGGUAGUCCGCACCGUAAACGAUGAUUACUCGUUGUUGGCAAUAUGACCGUCAGCGACCAAGCGAAAGCGAUAAGAAUCCACCUGGGAGUACGCCGGCAACGGUGAAACUCAAANAGAGUAGAGGNGNGAGAGNGCGACGGACGACACGAGGGAGGAGG
rnacentral:rRNA from 1 species